rnacentral:lncRNA from 1 species
UUUUUUCCAUUUUUUUCAGUGGGUGGGAUAAAUACAAAUGAAAAGUUAGAAAAAAUAGGACAAAGAUGUAUGUCCUAUGAAAAUGAAUUUUAGUUAUUACUGUAUGGUAUUGACUGAUUCUAACAUGUUAAUAAUCAUCCACUCAAAUGUUUAAGAGUAAAGAGAUCAAAUACACCUGAAUUUAUUUUGGAAAGUUGAUUACAUACUCAAAUUAUUGUAUUGAGUACCGAUCUAUCACACACUUAUACUAUAUAAAAGUAAAUUUAUUUCUACCCCAAAAUCUAAUAUGGCAAAAAAUUAAAAAUAAAUAAAGAAAAGUGCAUACAGGAGUCAAAUUAAAAUUAAAAAAAAAAAAACCACUUCUUCUUUGUGCAUUCUUCAUGGACAACCUUCCCUACUUCUUUUUCUUCUUCAUGUUGUUAAUCUUCUUUUCUCUAACUUUUUUCUUAUCAAAAUCACUUCAUUUUCUUUCACUAAUCAACUUUUUAUUUUCAUCAUUCUCCGUCUCGAUCUUGAAUGAAAUUCGCAAUGCUGAAGAAUUUGAUGACGAGUUGAUAAAAUUGAUGGCGAUAUGUCUCUUAUUUUUUAUAAUUGACAAUAAAGUUGGUGUCAAUUUUGGUGAUGAAUACUGAGUUUACGAUUAUGAGUGUUAUUAAUUUCGAUGGUGACAAUGGUAAUGGAUCUGGUGGUGAAUGAUUUAGCAAAGUAAUUUGGUGUAAAAAUAAAAUUUUGUGAUGGUUAUUGUUGUGAAUUUCAACAUUGACAAUGAUGGUGGUUUAAUUUUGAUAAACAUUAAAAUAUAUUAAUGUGGUGUGAUUUUGAUGUGGAUUCAGUGGCGGGUGGUUCUUUGUAAGUUUUGGUGGCAAAAAUGAUUGUGAUAUGAUUUCGAUGACGAGAUGGUUAUGGUGUUGAAUUUUGUAGUGGCUCUUUGUAAUUUUUAGUAGUAACAAUGGUGUGAUAUGAUUUUGAUGUUGAAUUUAUGAUGGUUAUUUGUAAAUUUUUAUGGUGGUAGUGGUUGUGGGGUGAUUUUGAUGGUGAAUUGGUUGUUGGUGGUGAUGAUAUGAGUUUGAUGACUAUGGCAGCAAUGGUGGUGGUUUAAUGGUAGAUUUUGAUGAUGGAUAGGAAAGAAGAAGCAAUUAGGGUGACUCGGUAUUUUUUAAAAAAUAUGACAUAAAAAAUGAUGUGGCAGUGACAUUGUGAUGACAUGUACGCGAGUGUGUAACACCUUCCAUCAUAUGACUGGUUCUAUGUGUGUUAGAGUGAAAAUAAAUUCCCUUUUAAAUACUACAGAUGUAUAAUAGAUCGCUGCAAUAGUUUGAAUGUGUCAUCGAAUUUUCAGGAAAAGUUCAGGGUGGAUUAGAUGACUUUUGAUCUGAGGUGGAUUUAUGCACCUCAGGGUCAUUAUCUAUGCUUGUUUAGCCUUAUUUUGAGAACUUCUUGCGUUCUUAAUGAGUGGUUAAUGAUAUAAUUGAGCAUAUAAGUGUUAAAAUACUUGAUUAUAAUAUUUAAUGUGUGUUUCAAAUAAGUUUAGAAUCAAUUUGGUCACUUAGAGUUUAGACGAGAAAAUUAGUGUUACUAACUUGAGCUAUAUGUUAUUCUAGUUGAUCUCGAUGGAUUCUAUUGUGUGUAAUGAGUUACUAAGGGUAUUAUUGUAUAAUUAUGUGUGUAAUAACUUGUUUAUAGUGUUUAAGGUUCAAUUUAAACAAGGCAAGAGUCAAAACUAAGUUAAAGAUCAAAAGGACAAAAUUAGUAUUCUUAGCUUAAGUUUCUAGUUCAUCGUAUUGAAUUGUAUAUUAUUUUGAGCUCUAAUUUGUGGUGUUUGAUGAUAUAGGAUGAUUGGUAGUUUGUCAUGAUGAUAUAUGGAUGAUACACAAGCUAUAAAUCAAUUAAAAACAACAUUACAAGGCUUGGAAUGGAUGGACAAACACUUGGGACAAGACUUGACCAAAAAUGGACGUUUUGGAGUCAUUGGCAUGCCACGGACUCUAGGCACCGUGUUAGGGCCGUACCACGGACUUGGGAGCAUUAUAAAUGACUAAUUACACUAUCCCACUAUAUUAUUUUCUACAUACCCUAGGCACCACGACAUGAGUGUGGCACGCUUCUAUGUCAAAAUCAAUAGCUUGUGUCCUUCUAAAAUAAGACCCUUAAACAUUAUGUUUGACACCUUGGAUGAUCUUGAGACUUUGGGAGAGGUUGGAGAAUACUUCAUUUAGGUUUUUAUUCCAUUACUUUGGUUUGUUUAUGUAUUUUAACAUGUAUUCAAUCAUUGUGAUUACGUUAUGUUCAUAAGCGACUAAACACCCCUUUCCGAGGUUACCUUUUAGAGGUUAAGGCAAAAAAUAUGAGUAUUAUUGUUAUUAAUUGAUUUGAUUUGGUUGUUUAUAAUAUUUGGU